rnacentral:rRNA from 1 species
UGGGGAAUUUUGGACAAUGGGCGAAAGCCUGAUCCAGCAAUGCCGCGUGUGUGAAGAAGGCCUUCGGGUUGUAAAGCACUUUUGUCCGGAAAGAAAUGACUCUGGUUAAUACCUGGGGUCGAUGACGGUACCGGAAGAAUAAGGACCGGCUAUCUAUGUGCCAGGAGCCGCGGUAAUACGUAGGGUCCAAGUGUUAAGCGGAAUUUCUGGGCGUAAAGCGUGCGCAGGCGGUUGUGCAAGACCGAUGUGAAAUCCCCGAGCUUAACUUGGGGAUUGCACUGGUGACUGCACGGCUAGAGUGUGUCAGAGGGGGGUAGAAUUCCACGUGUAGCAGUGAAAUGCGUAGAGAUGUGGAGGAAUACCGAUGGCGAAGUCAGCCCCCUGGAAUAACACUGACGCUCAUGCACGAAAGCGUGGGGAGCAAACAGG